UGGGGAAUAUUGCACAAUGGGCGCAAGCCUGAUGCAGCCAUGCCGCGUGUAUGAAGAAGGCCUUCGGGUUGUAAAGUACUUUCAGUCGGGAGGAAGGUGUCAAGGUUAAUAACCUUAUCAAUUGACGUUACCGACAGAAGAAGCACCGGCUAACUCCGUGCCAGCAGCCGCGGUAAUACGGAGGGUGCAAGCGUUAAUCGGAAUUACUGGGCGUAAAGCGCACGCAGGCGGUUGAUUGAGUCAGAUGUGAAAUCCCCGGGCUUAACCCGGGAAUUGCAUCUGAUACUGGUCAGCUAGAGUCUUGUAGAGGGGGGUAGAAUUCCAUGUGUAGCGGUGAAAUGCGUAGAGAUGUGGAGGAAUACCGGUGGCGGAGGCGGCCCCCUGGACAAAGACUGACGCUCAGGUGCGAAAGCGUGGGGAGCAAACAGG
rnacentral:rRNA from 1 species